rnacentral:rRNA from 1 species
CCUACGGGUGGCAGCAGUGGGGAAUAUUGGACAAUGGGCGAAAGCCUGAUCCAGCCAUGCCGCGUGUGUGAAGAAGGCCUUCGGGUUGUAAAGCACUUUCAGUGGGGAAGAAAGCCUUGGGGCUAAUACCCUCGAGGAAGGACAUCACCCACAGAAGAAGCACCGGCUAACUCCGUGCCAGCAGCCGCGGUAAUACGGAGGGUGCGAGCGUUAAUCGGAAUUACUGGGCGUAAAGCGCGCGUAGGCGGUCUGAUAAGCCGGUUGUGAAAGCCCCGGGCUCAACCUGGGAACGGCCUCCGGAACUGUCAGGCUAGAGUGCAGGAGAGGAAGGUAGAAUUCCCGGUGUAGCGGUGAAAUGCGUAGAGAUCGGGAGGAAUACCAGUGGCGAAGGCGGCCUUCUGGACUGACACUGACGCUGAGGUGCGAAAGCGUGGGUAGCAAACAGGAUUAGAUACCCCAGUAGUC